GAUGAACGCUAGCGGUGUGCUUAAAGCAUGCAAGUCGAACGUGAUCUCUUGGAUUCGUCUGAGGGUGAAAGUGGCGAACGGGUGAGUAAUGCGUUGGUGAUCUGCCCCGGAGUGGGGAAUAACUAUUGGAAACGAUAGCUAAUACCCCAGAUGUCCUCGUGUUUGGAAAGCGAUGACUAAAGUUCAGGCGCUCCGGGAGGAGCCGACGUCCCAUCAGCUAGUUGGUAGGGUAAUGGCCUACCAAGGCACAGACGGGUAGGGGGCGUGAGAGCGUGACCCCCCCACACUGGUACUGACACACGGACCAGAUACCUACGGGUAGCAGCAGCUAGGAAUAUUGGACAAUGGGCGAAAGCCUGAUCCAGCAACACCGCGUGGAGGACGAAGGCCUUCGGGUCGUAAACUCCUUUUUGGGGGGAUGAGAAAGGACAGUACCCCCAGAAUAAGGCCCGGCUAACUACGUG
rnacentral:rRNA from 1 species